UCUCCGUAGGUGAACCUGCGGAGGGAUCAUUACAGAGUUCUCGCACUCGUGGGUAUUUCUCCCACCCACUGUUAUCGUUACUGUCGUUUCUUUACCUGGCCGCCGGGUCCCCGUCAGCAGGCGUCUAUUAGGCAGCGCGCGCCCGCCAGAGGCCUUAGAACCCUGAAUGUUAGUGUCGUCUGAGUACUAUAUAAUAGUUAAAACUUUCAACAACGGAUCUCUUGGUUCUG
rnacentral:misc_RNA from 1 species